rnacentral:tRNA from 1 species
GGCCCCAUCGUCUAGCGGUCUAGGACGUCACCCUUUCAAGGUGAAGACACGAGUUCGAGUCUCGUUGGGGUCA